rnacentral:rRNA from 1 species
GGCACCACGAAGACUAUACUGUCUCCCCCCUACGAUCAAUGAAACUGAUCUCCCCGUGAAGAAGCGGGGAUAAACUUAUAAGACGAGAAGACCCCAUGGAGCUUAAAACUCAGUAUCACUUAUUCUCUACUACCUCAUAAUAACCCAAUAUGCAUGACUACUAGUUUUUGGUUGGGGUGACCGCGGAGUAAAACUCAACCUCCACAAUGAACGGAACUAAAUUCCUAAUUCUAGAUUUACACCUCAAAAAAUUAAAAUAUUAACAUAACUUGACCCAAGCUAUUGAUCAACGAACCAAGUUACCCUGGGGAUAACAGCGCAAUCCAUUUUAAGAGCCCCUAUCGACAAAUGGGUUUACGACCUCGAUGUUGGAUCAGGGUAUCCUAGUGGUGCAGCCGCUACUAAAGGUUCGUUUGUUCAACGAUUAAAACCCUACG